rnacentral:tRNA from 1 species
AAUAAGAUGGCUGAAGAAUUUAGGCGGUAGAUUGUAAAUUUAUAUAUGAGCUUGAUAAGCUCUCUUAUUA